CGUGGAUCUCAUGCCUGCUUACUUUGGGACUGUUUAUUCUUGGAGUCAUGGGAGUGGUCAAGAUGACAGGACUGUUAUGCCUGUUCUUGCUCAUGCCACUUUUACUUCCUGGUUCGGAAGCAAAGAUGUGCACUCGAGAUAGCCGGACCUAUACGUCUGUACCAUGCAAGCAUGAUCCUUGUGUUGAUGCAUGCCGCAAGGAGGGCUUUAACGAAGGGUUUUGUUACCUAUUCUACAGAACUUGUACGUGCCAAUGGGAGUGUUGAAUAAGAAACAUGUCGCAACUAUCAUAGGGUGCGUGUAACAAAUAAUAAUGUUGAGUAGUAUGAUGACUUGA